CCUACGGGAGGCAGCAGUGGGGAAUAUUGGACAAUGGGCGAAAGCCUGAUCCAGCCAUGCCGCGUGUGUGAAGAAGGCCUUCGGGUUGUAAAGCACUUUCAGUGGGGAAGAAAGCCUUGGGGCUAAUACCCUCGAGGAAGGACAUCACCCACAGAAGAAGCACCGGCUAACUCCGUGCCAGCAGCCGCGGUAAUACGGAGGGUGCGAGCGUUAAUCGGAAUUACUGGGCGUAAAGCGCGCGUAGGCGGUCUGAUAAGCCGGUUGUGAAAGCCCCGGGCUCAACCUGGGAACGGCAUCCGGAACUGUCAGGCUAGAGUGCAGGAGAGGAAGGUAGAAUUCCCGGUGUAGCGGUGAAAUGCGUAGAGAUCGGGAGGAAUACCAGUGGCGAAGGCGGCCUUCUGGACUGACACUGACGCUGAGGUGCGAAAGCGUGGGUAGCAAACAGGAUUAGAUCCCCGGGUAGUC
rnacentral:rRNA from 1 species